AAGUGGGAUCAUCACUUAUGUUUCAUAAACCAAAUUGAAUGACGAUUCUCCCAUUGGUACACGUGGAGUUUGAAGGAUUUUGUAAGCUAGAGAUUUACCUCCCAAAUGAUUUCUAUAAAUUUCUUCAUGAACUUCUCUGAGUGCAUAGUUAACAUCUGUCGAUCCCAAACACUUCAGUAAGGGAAUAGAGAACGACCUUUUGUAUAAUUGACCAUUCAUCAAAAUAUAUUGUGAGGCCGUCCAUCUGAGUCGUUUGACUUUUGAGGAAUCCAUAGGGAGAGUUUCAUUUGUCAAGUACUGGACC
rnacentral:lncRNA from 1 species